rnacentral:rRNA from 1 species
GACGAACGCUGGCGGCGUGCCUGACACAUGCAAGUCGUACGGUCCGUGAUUGAUCAAGCUUGCUUGAUUGGUCGUGGAUAGUGGCGGACGGGUGAGUAACGCGUGAACACCUACCCAUUGGAGGGGUACAACCCGUCGAAAGGCGGGCUAAUACCGCGUAAGCCGUGAGGUGAAAGGCUGCUUUUUGGUGGCUGCCGAUGGAUGGGUUCGCGUCCUAUCAGCUGGUUGGUGGGUAACGGCCUACCAAGGCUAAAGACGGGUAGCCGGUCUGAGAGGAUGGCCGGCCACACUGGAACUGAGACACGGACCAGACUCCUACGGGAGCAGCAGUAAGGAAUAUUGGGCAAUGGUCAAAAGCUGACCCAGCCAUGCCGCGUGCAGGAUGAAGGCCCUAUGGGUUGUAAACUGCUUUUAGCCGGGAAUAAACACCCGUUUUAUAACGGGCCCGAAGGUACCGGCUGAAUAAGCAUCGGCUAACUCCGUG